rnacentral:ncRNA from 1 species
CAAAAGUUUGGUCCUGACUUUAGUGUCAACUUUAGCUAAACUUACACAUGCAAGUAUCCGCAAUCCCGUGAGAAUGCCCUUAAGUCCUCUGCCACGAGGACAAGGAGCUGGUAUCAGGCACGCCCCAACAUUGCAGCCCAAGACACCUUGCUCAGCCACACCCCCAAGGGAAUCCAGCAGUGAUAAACAUUAAGCUAUAAGUGAAAACUUGACUUAGUUAAGCUAAUUCGGGCCGGCAGAUCUCGUGCCAGCCACCGCGGUUAUACGAGAGACCCAAGUUGACAAAUACCGGCGUAAAGAGUGGUUAGGAGAAAUAAGUAAAUAAAGCCGAACACCCUCAGAGCUGUUAUACGCUACGAUGAGGCACGAAGCUCAAUCACGAAAGUAGCUUUAAAUCACCCGACCCCACGAAAGCUAUGGCACAAACUGGGAUUAGAUACCCCACUAUGCCUAGCCCUAAACAUAGAUAGCCUAAUUACCCCCGCUAUUCGCCUGGGAACUACGAGCAUAAGCUUAAAACCCAAAGGACUUGGCGGUGCUUUAGAUCCGCCUAGAGGAGCCUGUUCUAUAACCGAUACCCCCCGUCUAACCUCACCCUUCCUUGUUCUCCCAGCUUAUAUACCGCCGCCGUCAGCUUACCCUGUGAAGGACCUAUAAUAAGCAAAGCUGGCACUGCCUAAAACGUCAGGUCGAGGUGUAGCGUAUGGAAGGGGAAGAAAUGGGCUACAUUCCCUAAUCAACAGGGAAUACAGAUGGUGUGCUGAAACGCACGCCUGAAGGAGGAUUUAGUAGUAAGCAGGAACUAGAGAGUCCCGCUGAAAUUGGCUCUGAAGCACGCACAUACCGCCCGUCACUCUCCCCGAACCCACUUAACUCAAAUUCCUAAAUAAUUAUCAUAACGCCUAGGGGAGGCAAGUCGUAACAUGGUAAGUGUACCGGAAGGUGCACUUGGAGCAAC